GCUACACGUGGGUGCGUUGGUACACGCGCGCUUCUGUAGGCCUUUAGUGUACUGAGCGUACGGUGGUCGUUUUAUACGUUUAUUUCGCGACUUUGUGUAUGACAAGACGUAAGAAAUUAGUCUCUGAGGAAUCCCUGGCACACCUACGUGAUAUGGAGUGCGCUCAAUCCAACAUUCAAGUUGAAGACCGCAUUCACUGUUUGUGCUGGCCCGCCUACAUGUACAGCACAUUGAGCACAGCAGUAGAGAAGUAUACAAUUUUGGUUGAUCUGUGAUUCUACACCCCCCCAUCCCAGCUCCUUUUUUUGGGUUAAACUUUAGUUAAUGGUUUUCAAGUCUUAUUCAGUUUUUCAGUUUGGUCAUUUUUUUGUAAGGGUUGAUCAAUUUGGGAGGGGGGAGUUGGAUACAUGUAAAAUUGGUGUGUGAGUCCCUGUUGAUUCAUCUCCCUGCAACUUUGCCGUUAAAAAUUCUUCAGGUAGUUUGGGUUCCUCUUAUUGUGAUGCAGGUGUAGCUUGCUAUUUUUCCAGGUCUGCCUUGUAAUGGCAUGCACCCUAUACGCCUGCAUUGCAUUGGCACACUUUGAUGUUGGACCCCACACCUGCACACUCACCUGGCAAUCAGAUCAAGGCUCUUAUAGUGUCAUAAUAUCUGCUCUUGGAACACUGAUGAAGGUCCAAGCAAGACGGUCAGAUUGUGGAAUCAAAGAGGGCUAGCAGUCUACUACCUUUAGAAGAGGAGUAAAAAAAAAUGGAAAGCCGCGGGAGGUUAACCAAAAAAGUCCAAUGGGAACACGCCUUUUGAUGCACUGGUCAAUCAACAACAGCCAAACAGGUCAUGUUGAGACAAUGGGAGAUUGAACAAUGUCACUGUUGGAUCUUGUGGUGACUGGCAACUACAGACUCCUAGGCUGUUUGGCCUUGGGGAGAGUUGACCUGUUACACUGGGUAAGCAAAUUACUUUGACAAAUUACGCAGACUGAUGUGUCUGGCAGCCAAACAACCCUGAACAGUUAGUGUUGUAUAUUCUGCUUGUUUUAAUUACAAAAAUGGCUUUGGAAUCAUUCAUAUUAACCACUUGCUGUCAGGGAGCCCGAUUUUGGGCAUGUAUGUUCUUUAUAUGCACAGCCGGGGUGUCUGAAAUAGGACAAAGGGAACUGGGCCUUGUAACAAAAGACCAUACUUGUAACAAAAGAUCAGGCUGCUGGGAAUUACUAACAUGUUUUCACUGUCGAUAGCGGAGAUAAUCCAGCACAAUCUGGACUCUUUUUACAAGCCAGCA
rnacentral:lncRNA from 1 species